rnacentral:rRNA from 1 species
AUCCUUUGACAUGGCGUGUUACCCAGAGAGAUUUGGGGUCCACUUCGGUGGCGCGCACACAGGUGCUGCAUGGCUGUCGUCAGCUCGUGUCGUGAGAUGUUGGGUUAAGUCCCGCAACGAGCGCAACCCACGUCCUUAGUUGCCAUCAUUCAGUUGGGCACUCUAGGGAGACUGCCGGUGAUAAGCCGCGAGGAAGGUGUGGAUGACGUCAAGUCCUCAUGGCCCUUACGGGAUGGGCUACACACGUGCUACAAUGGCGGUGACAGUGGGACGCGAAAGAGCGAUCUGGAGCAAAUCCCCAAAAGCCGUCUCAGUUCGGAUUGCACUCUGCAACUCGAGUGCAUGAAGGCGGAAUCGCUAGUAAUCGUGGAUCAGCAUGCCACGGUGAAUACGUUCCCGGGCCUU